AUGCUUACGAAGCAGGGGAGAUACCUGAUUGUGAAGGUGGUUUUCCCAGGGUGAGGCUGAUCCUUUUCCCUGGAGAUCUGCUGACCCCACAAAUUUCCCCAUGUGGUGGGGGUUGUGUUCGUGCUUUCCCCUG
rnacentral:snRNA from 1 species